rnacentral:misc_RNA from 1 species
CAAGAAGAGACCCUAACCGGUCCUCUCAACCCUGCCCAUCGUACCUUUUUUGUUGUUCCCUCGGCGGUGCUCGCGGGCCCGCCGGCGGGAAGACCAAACAAACCCUUUGCAAACAAGCAUAUCGAAUCUCAGAUCAAACAUGAUUGUCA